CCUACGGGCGGCAGCAGUGAGGAAUAUUGGUCAAUGGACGAGAGUCUGAACCAGCCAAGUAGCGUGAAGGAUGACUGCCCUCUGGGUUGUAAACUUCUUUUAUAUGGGAAUAAAAUGUUCCACGUGUGGGAUUUUGUAUGUACCAUAUGAAUAAGGCUAGGCUAACUCCGUGCCAGCAGCCGCGGUAAUACGGAGGAUCCGAGCGUUAUCCGGAUUUAUUGGGUUUAAAGGGAGCGUAGGUGGAUUGUUAAGUCAGUUGUGAAAGUUUGCGGCUCAACCGUAAAAUUGCAGUUGAAACUGGCAGUCUUGAGUACAGGAGAGGUGGGCGGAAUUCGUGGUGUAGCGGUGAAAUGCUUAGAUAUCACGAAGAACUCCGAUUGCGAAGGCAGUUCACUGGACUGCAACUGACACUGAGGCUCGAAAGUGUGGGUAUCAAACAGGAUUAGAUACCCCUGUAGUC
rnacentral:rRNA from 1 species